CUUAAUACAAUCUUUCAACAACGGAUCUCUUGGCUCUCGCAUCGAUGAAGAACGCAGCGAAAUGCGAUAAGUAAUGUGAAUUGCAGAAUUCAGUGAAUCAUCGAAUCUUUGAACGCACCUUGCGCUCCUUGGUAUUCCGAGGAGCAUGCCUGUUUGAG
rnacentral:rRNA from 1 species